CCUUGCUUAUUGUGCUUUUGCCUAUCAUUUUUCCUAUUAUAUUCUCCUUGAUGUCCAUAUAAAUACAGUGAUUAUAGUGCUUCAUAUUGUAACCUUCAAUGGAUACGAUAAGGUCAGUGUAUUUACUACUUUGCUCUUCACUGAGUUGAGACAUGGAUCGUUGUUCAUUGCAUAUCAAAAAUGGAGGAUUAAUCAUUUGGAUGGUCAAAUGGGGAAACGACGUUGAUGGAUGCAAAGGCCGUAUGCAUCAUACAUGCCACAGGUGUGUUAUCAAAUGUAACAAUCCACCAAGCGG